CCACAACCUUUUGCACUGCUAACCCAAUGCUCUACCUAGUUCACAUUUGGUAGAAACUUGUUGUUCUGUAAUACUUUUCUCUUCUGGUAAUUCUCAGCAGAAACUCCAGCUGUGCAUCAGCUCAGUUUAGAAGGCGCUCUAACAGAUGUCCGGCAGUUUGCCACUGUCCUCCCGCUCUGUCCUCACCUGUCCCUCCCACCAUGUGUGGAAGACACUGAGGACGCACCAGAGGAUGGGGUCAAACUUCAGGAAUCCUUCUGUUCCGUCUGCCAUGUCCUUUCAAGUAUGCUUGGAUUAGGAUGAGGUUAAGAUGCUUUAAUUGAAUUAACCCCUUGAAUCCCACACAAGCAAAGCUGGAGUAAAGACCAGCAGCUUUCUCACGGUGUGUGGUGGCAGAUCUUCGUAGUAACCCGAUACUUCCAGUCUCUUUGGGGAGGUUACCCUGGCAACAGUAUGAAUGAACUGACAGCGUCUGUGCGUACAUGUGCUUUUAAUUAAAGAGGAGCGGUAAUAGAGACAUUUAGUGGCAAUUCACUGUCCCUUGUGGCACAGCAAACGCAUACUUCCUCCCCCUCUCUUCCUCUUCCUAUCUUGCCUUUUUACUCAACCAUAUCAACAUCCGUAGAAAUCAGCGGCUAUGUUUAGGUAACCUCUAUGUUUGUCCCACCAAUGGUUUAUGAAAUUAAAGGAAUAGUUCAGUCGAAAAUAAAAUUUGUUAUUAAAUACUCACUCUCAUGUUGUUACAAACCUGUACCUUGUCCAUACAGUGUUGUUUUGGACCCUAUCAACUUUCAGUAUAUCCUAUAGUCAAAAACAGUUUUCAAAAUAUCUUCAAAAAAGCUCAGAGGAAUGGAAAUCAUACAGGUUUGGAAUGAUACGAGGGUGAGUAAAUAGUUUUGGGUGAACUAUCCCAGUAAGCAAUCCUCGUCAUGCAGUGGCCAAGAAUUAUUGUAAGUGUAUCUUAUCAUGCAUAGAUUUCCAGAGUGUGUGGAUUCGAAGAGGAGAAGAUGCAUUAGUCAUCAGAAAAUGACCUGGAAUGACCAGAACAAUGUUGCAGUGAAGAGCACUUUGUAGGAAACUCCAUUAACAAACCUCAGUCAGUUAAUUAGCUGUAGACGCAGCAGAGCAUACAGACCCUGCAUGUGGCUCGGAGCUUUGCGAAAGGCUUUUAGAUGAAAGUGAUGAAUUGCUGUCAUUGGGCUUGUUCUAUACUUUAUCAAAUGAUUAAAUAUUGAAUGUAAAAUAGACAGCUCUCGCCGCAUGCAAAGGUCAUUUUCCGAUUGCCACAUUAAUCAAAAUGCUUUUUCCUGUCAGUGGUGAAGAGAGAAUUCCCCAAACAGCAGAGAUGCGCCGUGUGGUGAUAUGCUGCAGGCACAAGUGUAUAUAUGUGUGUGUGAGGUUAGACACUGUAGGAUGGGAAUUUGCUCUUUCUGGAAGCUUCCAUGGCUUCUCUUAGUUCAUUUUGUACCGGAUUUCCAUUCACGCAUCCCAGCAGAUUGUAUUAUAUUCACAAGGAUUGCAUUUCCAUUUUUCUAUUUUACCUGUCUGGGAUUGUGAAAGACAUUUCCUCGUAUCUCAAGGGUGGGAUUUUAACAGAGACUUGCGCUGAUGACAUAAGGAAAAAGGAUAAACAUCCAUCCCACUCUUGAGAAACACUCUUAGUUAGGUAACCAUGGCGAUAACAGAGCUGAAGGAACUGCUUUUCUUUUGUGUGGCAUAAAACUAGUUAAAAUACAACCAGGAAGAGAGAGGCCCAAAGGCAAGGAAAUGCAUCACCCUCGGAGUGCUGUCUGUGGUUAGGCUACGACACACCCUCACACACACACACAGGCGCAUUAGAGUCACACAUUCUCGUAACUGACAUCCUGAACAGUUCGCAAUUCACUCUCUGACAGCACAUGGGGCCUGGCAGCUGCUCCAGGAUCCCACUUAUCUGCUAAGUGAGGGAGAGAGACACUGAGAGAGGGGGAGAAGUGCAUGGGCAGUUACACAGAGCACAAAGCAGAAGUUUAGGGACGAGUCUUGAGGUACAUCACAGUUGCGGACUGUCUGGUGUGGGCCGCUGGAUCUUUAGUGGACAGAGCGGAGUGGACAGAGCUUUGUGAAUGAGAGAAGACAUAUUCAGGCAGGAAGGAAUUGAGGGUUGCCACGCUUUGAUGUUUGAAGCUUGGUUAUGGUUAUUGGUUACCCCAUUUCAAGAUGCAACAGGCGUGUUUGCCAUUUGCAGCAAGUAUAAUCAAAUGCUCACUCUCAUAUGAAACCCUUUGAGUCAUUUCCUCUUGUGUGCUGCAACAUUUUAGAGGUAUAAUUUUGAAGUUUUACUAAUUUGUGAUGAAAAUAAACAGGAAGUUGACACAGAGAGCCUAAGAGUCCAAAAUGGUGCCAUGAUGAGGUUCAGAUGUAAGGUAUUUUUGUGGUAUUGUUGACUAGCAUGGAUAAAAUGUGUUUUACGUGGUCCUGGGACUGAUUAGUUUUAGCAUUUUGUCAAUCUUUUAGCAUUUUUUCUUGAGGUUUUCCUGCAUUUUAACUAGAUUGCUGUUGAGUAACAUUGUAAUUGGCAUGAAAUUAGCUAUCAGCUUGUGUAUGGGAGUAAACGGUGUUCUCUAUUGCUAGCUAGAGAAAGCUGUGGCAAAAUUAAGCAAAAUCUGUAUAGAACCACAUAAAAUACAACACAGGCCUCGGAAACUUUUACAGCAAUUAUCAAUGCUUUAUAUUAGAACACACUAUUGAUAGUUCUCUUUCUCUCUUUCAGUAUCUGCCAAAUAGACCUACAUUGUAUUUUUAGAGAUAUUGCUGUGGUUUAAAGCCAUUCAGAUUUAUAUUGUGAUGAUAUUUCCCAUAUGGGAAGAGGUUAUGAGACAAAACUAUGGCAUGUAACAUCCGUUAUUUUGAGCUAUAGAUCAGAUGUUAGCAUUUAGCAGUUAGCACAACAGAUCUGAACAUCUUUAAAGUGUAAAAUAGGUAAUCGUUUAGCUCUAUAUUAUUACUUUUAUGGCUCUUUGGGUCUUUUUAAUUCUCAGGGGGAAAUGUGACAUUAUUUUAAAAUUAGAUGUGUUUUUGUGUGUCAAUUUCCUGUCAUAGGUCUGUUCAUGGCCACACUGGGCAUUGGUAUGUUUACACCACAGAUAUAGUUGUAGAUCAUCUUGACAUUUACCAUUUUUUUUCUUGCUUCAUAUAUAGGCCUUAAACAACAUCUCAAAAUUGCUUUUAGUAGUUUGUAAAAUUUGUAAGUUCAAUGUGACACAUCUAGUUGUACAUGACCAAGUCUCUGACUCAGCUAAUCAAACCAAUAUUGAACAGAUUUUUAUUAUUUCAAUGAAGUAUGAGAGUUCAAAUAAACUCAUUUAUGGUUUGGUGCCAAUAAAUGAAUACUUGUGCCUUACUGAUGGGGUUAUGAGGAGAAAGAAAAGUGCAAAAAGGUUUGAGAAACUAACUUUUUUUAUAUCUGAGGUGCUUUGUACUAAGUAAGAGUGAUUUGUGUUUUCUCGCUGUGUGCUGCUGUGUUUCUUGGUCGUGUCAAAUGAAGAUGGGCCACAUCUGUGAACAGUUUUAUUAAAGAGCAAGAACAGACACUGAGCAAACCUGCGGACAGAUCUGCUUUUAUUUAAACCCAAUAUGCAAGGUUUUUAUUAAAAAGUUCCAACUUCUUUCCUACUUUCCAGCCCUUUUCUCUCAGUCUGUUUGCUUUUCUCAAGCCUUUGGACGACAUUGUGUCUCCCCUCUCUUUCUCCAAGCAUGGCUUUAUUUGUCAGCUUCUGUUAGAGUGCAGGCAGUUUCAGACAGCAUCAAAUAAAUAAAUCUGCCAAUCCACAGUCUGGCUGUCUCCUCUCCCUUUUGCAUAAGUUUUGCUUUCUUACUUCAAACUUUGUCUAUUCAACAGUAACAACACGUACUUUUCAAAUCACACAAAGUUCAAAAUCAGAAAUUUACUUGCUUCACCUUAAGUCAAUGCAGUCUUGUGUAGAUCUUCGGGUGCUGGAAGGAUCGCUUGAAUGUAGUGUUAGUUAGGGAAUAAGAAGCCUAGGAUUAGUACCGUUUUGGUGGAUGGAGGAUGUUAGGUAUAUUUAUAGCUGAUUAAGUCUUCUGGACCAGCAGACGGGAUCCUCAGUUCACAAAGGUUGUCUCAGUUGAUCAAACGCAGCACAGGCUGCAUGCUGAUUACAUACACGUAGUUCUUGACUCCCUAAAAUGAACAUUAAUCAGUUUCUGCAUGUGCCCUGCAAUGUUUCAAUUCUUAAGCCAAUAUAAUUGGACAGUGUGACUCAGCAAGACUCAGGGUUGUGGCCAGGCCGAAGUCACAGCAUGAGAAAGUCUUUAGAAGUCGUGAGAAAACCAUAUUGAUGUGAAUAACAUCUUUGCAGCCUCUAGCAAAAACACAUCAACACUUUCUUAAUGUUCUUCUUUUAAGAAAUACUAAUACCAAGAAACUUAAGAAGGCAUCGAUUUGUGCCUGAGGUGGACGAUUAUAUAAUUAUAUUAGUUGUAAACAACUCAUGGUGUAGCUUGUCUUGAAAGGAUAGUUCAGCCCAAAAAUUACAAUUCUGCCAGCAUUGUGGCAAAAACGGUUGAUACAUUCUUUUUUUUACCUAUUACCUAUUCUUGUGUUCCUCAGAAAAAAAGAAAGUUAUACAAACUUGGAGCAACAUGAAGGUGAUUUGACAACAUUUGGGGGUGAACUAUCCCUUGAAGAUAAAUUCUAUUGUUAUGGUGUACUUUGCAUACUUGUGUUAAUGACAUUUAGUUGACCUGUUAAUGGGACACACUCAUGUGUAUGUUGGGUGCAGCUCACAGUCACUGCCAUUAACAAUGCAUAAUAAAGGAUAGUAGACUUGGCAUUUCCUGGGGAUCAUUUUACAGUCCCAUGUUUUCAUACACAAAUCAGCUAAUUUUAACACACACAAAUGCACACUUUGUGUGAAAGCAGCUGUGGUGUUGGCAGAGUUAUACAGCUUGUCUUCUCAUAUUUGAGUUCCUUUGUUAUAUUCUAGAUCUUCUCGUAUUGUGGGUGCAUAAUUAUAUAAUUGUCGAUCAUAAAUGUCGUUUACUCCCUUGAAAUGAUUAAUUGCGAUUAUUACCAUUUACAGUGCUGUUCAGUG